rnacentral:ribozyme from 1 species
CGGCAUCAAAGUAAGAACCUUUUCGUGGUGAUGCUAUUUAAACUAAUCUUACU